AUGAGAAAUCAUGUUUGUCUUUGGUGCUUACACUGUGCCAUAGCUUGUGAAAAUACUCAAACAUUUGCUUUGACUUCUGUUGGUAGAUGUGGAUAUUGCCAGAGUGUGGCAGAUGCUUCAUCAAUGCAGAGUUUUUAUACUGAUGUAAUGCCUGACAUUUCUUGGUAUUGUCCCCUGCUCAACUGAAUGCACUAAAAAAGCCAGUGUUUCGUCUUCCAGAAGGUGCCAUUUUGCAUUCCAGUCACCUUGUAAGUGUUCUUGUGUACCAAGAUGUGUGGUGUAACUUUCUCUUUCUUCCAGUUUUGCUCUUCCCUUUUCAUACAAUUUAAAGUCAAUGCAAAAUCCUCAUAGAUAUAGCACGGCCGCAGCUGAGGAUUUAGGAGAUAUAAAUCUGUCUUUCAUUGCUGUCUCUCUCAGGAAAUGUGCAUACCAGAGUGAAGAAAAGGCUGAAGGAAAAAAGGUGUGAGAACAAAAGCCUCUGGUGCCUUUUCGGUGUAAACAAUGAGACAAGGACAGUUCUUCAGAGCCAUUCACCCCAGGAAGAGAUGAAAAAACGUUGCUUUUCCACAUCAUCCUUAAGUAUUUGUCUACCAUACUCAUCCUUAUUUGAAUUUUUAAAAAACAGUCAAUUUUUAAAGAAAUGCAACAGUGUAGGAGCUUUAAUUUACUAUUUACUUUAAUUUACUAGGUUGUUGUCUUUUGAACAAUGAAAUCAAGAUGCAAUUAUGAAAUCAUGUUCAGAAAAACUGUUACAGUACAUUGCAUUAACAUUCUAAGUAAUGUAAAGGGCAACUCAAACAUGUUACAAUGUUUUUAAAGAAGAUCAUUUCAGUUCUACCAAUAAAUUAAGCUGCUAAGUAUUUUUUUUUUCUUCAGCUUUUCAUGAUGCAGUGCCCUCUGAAUGUUUGGAAACAAUGUUGGCAAGUGUACUUUUGGACAAUAUCAGCAUAAAUGUCGCUUCCUCCUGCUUUUACACUGAUGAGGGACAACACAAACUACAGAACAUAAUUUUCGAACAUAAAAAGCCAUGAACCCAAGAAAACAUCUUAAACUAUCCUAAGCUGGUUUGCUGGUCAACUGGUUGGUUUUAGAGAGGUUUGGGUCGCUUUUCAGGCUGGGAGACCAGCUAACAGCGAACCAUCCAGUCAAAAUUCCAAGUUAUUUUAAUGUAUUUAUACCAAGAAAUUAGUAUAAAGUUUUAAUGCCGAUAUUGUCUUAAACUUAGCGGCAUUUCCAAAUUUUUGAAGAGCAGUGCAUGUCCGUUCCAUCACCUCAAGUGGUUCCGUCACCUCAAGGGGAUUAACACUGCUUGAAGUGCCUGAGGGGCCACUCUCAUCAUUAGAGCACUAUGGGAACUCUAAUGGGU
ensembl:lncRNA